UUUUGAACUCUUCCUCUCUGAUGAGUUCUGCUUCCAUCAGCUGGUUGACACUGGAUAUGAUUCUUACCUCAUACGCCAAUUCUUUCACAUUUGGGGCUUGAAUUGAAGCUUGGUGAGAAGGGUUGUUCUCUGAUAUGUCGGGAGGAGACACUUCGGUCAGGCUUGGAUACUGCUUUGGAGUUUGGAUAACUGGAGCCUCUUCUGUUAUUUCUGCUGUGUCUUCAUUUACUGGCAGAUCUGCUGCUUCUACCAAAUCUUUGUUCAUAGCGCUUUUUCCAGGUCCAUACCACGAGGGUCGUCCGGCUUUGAUCCAUGCCUCUUGCUGUUACAGAUCCUGGCCGACAAUACAUGACGGGGACGGGACUA